rnacentral:lncRNA from 1 species
ACACGUAUAAAACAGAAUUUUUGUUUUGCAGGUGGUCCUCUUUCGUCCGUGAGAAGCGGCCGAGUUCUCUGCCACGUGAAGCCAAAAUAGGAAGGUGGCGCGCACACACGUAUAAAAGGAAUUGCAGAUCUUUCUUCUUCUUGGCCGUUCAAAGUCCGCCGAAACCCUACGAGAAAUAAAGAUGUUUAAAGUCCACCAAAACCCUACGAAACCCUACGAGAAAUAAAGACCGAAACCCUACGAGAAAUAAAGAUGUUUAAAGUCCACCAAAACCCUACGAGAAAUAAAGACGCCGCUGCAACUUUACGUAGAAGGGAGCCGCGAGGAUUCUGAAGCCGCCCG